UUUUUUUAUUAUUUUGAAUUAUUAAAUACAUUUUUCAUUCAAAUCGUUCCGGUAGUUAAUCCCGAAAAGGACUGGUUGGUUUCGAUCGUAAGCUUAGCGGAUUAGAUCGUCGUUUUCGGCAACUGCUUGGUAGGACGGAUCGACCGAAUUUCGAUGUUUUCUUCUUCUGUCUAUCCGGCCUUUGUCGGGACCGUUUUAACAAAUAUAUUCUUCAUAGUCUUCACUGAUCGCUCUCUACGGUUAGAUUUCUCUAUAACCUUCAUGUCUCUAUCAUUUUAGUUAUAUUCGUUAUCUGAUCUUCGCAUCUUUUACGUGAACUUCCUAAUGGUCUUUUAUCCAUAGAGCCUCCAGAUUCUACUGACUUAUCAUUGACUCUUCUUUCCAUUAUAAAUUACCUGCCCGUUAAAAUCGUAUUUUCUUUGUGUCUUGAAAUAUAUCCGGUCUUUUGAAAAAUUGCUCUAGCUCUUUAUUCUUUCUAAUUUUCCACUGGUCUGUGUUAUCGUCCAUACAUGGUUCGAUGGUCCUCCUCAGUACAUAUCUUUCAAAGAUCUGUAGUUUCUUCUCUUCCAAGUUAUGUAUGAGUCAACCUUCUGAGUUACAUUAUGAAUUAUGGUUCACAGGUAUAGAUUACAAUCGGUUCGAGCGUGCAAUACAAUCGUACCUUUAAGUUUUUUUAUAGUGCUCUCGAACGCAAUAACGUUGUUAGGCCCAAAUAACAUCAGUUUCCUGCUUGUAAUCUUGACGCGAAACUAUGUCAGGAGUCAUUUCAUUAUUUCCGUGAUAAAAUGCGCCUAAAUAUUUAAAUUCUUGUACUCUUUUAAUGUUUUAAUGUCUUGGGUGAUUUUAAAUCGUAUAUUCUGUAACAGUAGUUGAAUGUUUAAAUGCGUAUGAUGAAGUAUGACGGCAAUAUUGUCGCAUUGCAUUGUGUGUCGUUACUCUGUGUCAAACAGAUGCUUCUGACAGAGAGUUGAAAGUGUAUGCGGAGUUGAAUUUAAAGUUUUACAAUUUUAAAUGUUAUCGGACGGUUUCUAAAUUAAGAAGAAGGGAAAAUUUCGAAUUGUUUAAUAUUAUAUAUUUUAUUCUAUAGUAUAAAUAAGUAUAUGUCGUUAUUCUCUGUAAACUCAGUCAAAACUACCAUUAUGUAACUCGUGUAUAUUUCCGUCGGAAUCAGUUUUUAAUUCAAUUUUGUUUUUAUUUUUUUUAUUUAUAUUAAUAUUCAAUUUACAGAGUUAUUUUCCAA